rnacentral:rRNA from 1 species
CCUACGGGAGGCAGCAGUGAGGAAUAUUGGUCAAUGGCCGGAAGGCUGAACCAGCCAAGCCGCGUGAAGGACGAAGGUGCCAAGCAUUGUAAACUUCUUUUGUCAAGGGACAAAAUCAGGCUCGAGAGCCUGACCGAGGGUACUUGAAGAAAAAGCAUCGGCUAACUCCGUGCCAGCAGCCGCGGUAAUACGGAGGAUGCGAGCGUUAUCCGGAUUUAUUGGGUGUAAGGGGUGCGUAGGCGGACGGUUAAGGCAGCGGUAAAAGCCCGGGGCUCAACCCCGGCGAGCCGUUGAAACUGGCUGGCUGGAGAGGUCGAGAGGUAGGCGGAAUGCGCAGUGUAGCGGUGAAAUGCUUAGAUAUUGCGCAGAACUCCAGUUGCGAAGGCAGCAUACCGGCGGCGAUCUGACGCUGAGGCACGAAAGCGUGGGUAGCGAACAGGAUUAGAUACCCGGGUAGUC